GGAAAAAUUGAAAUUUCGGAAAUUAGUUCCGUGAAUUACAAAAUAGGACUCAUAAUUAAAUUGGGCCAAAAAAAAAUAUAAAAAGAGGCCCAAGAUGUGGGUGUUGGCCGGAUAUGGAGGAAAAAAAUGGGCCAAGCCCAUGUGUCAUUAAAUUUAAGAUGAAUAAAUAUCAAGGGCCUUAUUGUUUUUCAUUCAUCUUUUAGAAACUUCAAGAAAAAAAAAAAAAAAAAAGAGUGAGAGAGGAGAGCAAGAAAGGGCCAUACGGCCAAGUGAAAAAAAAAGAAAGGAAAAAGAAGAAAAUUCUUGGAGCUUAAUUCUUUGGUUCAAAAGUCCAUUUCUUUUUUAAAUACUACUAAGCUCAAGACCCUCUCCAUCAUGAUAUAAAUUUUGAGGCAAGAAAGUGCUUCUUGUGGCAAGUGGAAAAAUUAGAAAAAGAAUUUGGAGGAAACGGGAUUUGGAUUUAGAGUAGCGUAAGGAGCGGAAAAGGUAUAGACGCUUAUUGUGGUGAUCUGCCAGCUUAGGGUACGCAGUCUGCUGUUUGGAGUGCUCCUUUGAUCCGGAGCCCAUCUUUUGGUACAGAUCUUUCUGUCGUACAUAUUUUUGUGCUUAUGACUAUUUUGGGUACGGCGGGGCCCUGUCCCGUCAUAUGAUUCUGUUGUCUGUAUUAGAGGCCUGUAGACAUGUAUGUGGGUCAUGGGUCGUGCGUGGUUAGUAAUGUUUAUUUGGGUUGUGUUCGGUUUUCUCCUACACUAUGUUAACGUAACCGAUUUAUGUAUUAUAAUAUAAGUAACGACUUAAA